rnacentral:lncRNA from 1 species
AAGUUCUCCUCUUGUCACAAACUCUUUUUCUGAAUAUUGAAGCAAACAACUAUUGUUUUCAACUCCAGAAAAAUCUCUCUAUUUUUCAACCACCAUAAACCAUUUUAUUUUCUUCUUCAUGCUCCCACAACACACCAUAUGUUUUUUUUCUUCCAACCAUAUAUCAUAGACUACAUAAACCAUUUACACCCACUUCAUACACCAAAAACAAAAAAACGUUAAAAACAUGAGCAACAACAACUUUCAUCAUCAUCAUCACCUUCAUCUUUCAUUAUCAUCAUCUUCCAACACAAAUAAACCAUAUUCAACCAUCAUCUUCUUUCUCCUUACUCUUCUUUCUCCUUACUCACCAUCCAAAGAUCUUAAAGUAUUUCACUCUCUAAACUCCAACAAAUAACCAACAAUCUUCAACAAAAAAAAACUCCAAACACCUACUCGCAACUUCGACGGCCACCGGAAACGAGGCUCAACUGACUGAGCAUCACUUCACCGCGCCGUUGGCCAAAUUCGACGCAACCACCACUACUGGUGAGUGUUGAGACGGUGAGCGGAGAGAGAGUUUGAUAUACUUAUUUUAUUCUUUUUAUUAUUGUUGUUGUUCUUGAAAUUGGAAAAAAGUUCUUGUUUUUUUUAAAUAGAAAAAAAUAGAAAAAGUGAAGAAAUAAUAUGAUGUUGUUGUUGCUGAAAGAUAAAGGGGAAGGAGAAGAGGAAACGAGAUUUUUUAAAACCCUCUUCAUGUUUGCCAUGUGUCGCAUGGUAGGAGGUGUUUUUUUUUUAUUUUAAAAUUUUAAUUUUAUCUCUCUGCCAUAUUAAUCUCACCGUCUUUUUAUUUUA